UGGUUGGCAAAUGCCUUCUUCUCCCCUAUGUUGCGGACUCUGACCUGGAGUUGUCAUAAACAAGUAUGAUUUACCUGAGAUAAAGGAGUAGAUGUAGCGCCUCUUAAUAAUGUAGCUUUUUGUGUACUACUCAGGCCAGCGCUAAAAGAUACUUGCAAGGGCCACCAUCAUCAUCCCUGGGCUGAUGUAAAGACAGCUGGUGAAACAGGAUAA
rnacentral:lncRNA from 1 species